rnacentral:ncRNA from 2 species
GCCACAAGCUAGGGGUGCUCAUUCGAGCUGAGAUGGCAGUCGCCAGACCCUUUGAACCUGAGAGUUAACACUCACGUAGGAAAGCUAUUGAUCGUGUGA